CAAUAGCGUAUAUUAAAGUUGUUGCAGUUAAAAAGCUCGUAGUUGGAUUUCUGGAUGGAGCGACCGGUCGGGCAUUAAUUUGUCUGCACUGGAGUCGGUUCCGUCCAUCCUCUUGGAAAGUGCGUCGGGCAUUAAGUUGUUUGGCGUAUGAUCCAAGUCGUUUACUGUGAAAAAAUUAGAGCGUUUAAAGCAGGCCUUCGCCUUGAAUACAUUAGCAUGGAAUAAUAAGAUAGGACUUUGGUCUAUUUUGUUGGUUUGCAGACCGAAGUAAUGAUUAAUAGGGAUAGUUGGGGGUAUUUAUAUUCCGAUGUCAGAGGUGAAAUUCUUAGAUUUUCGGAAGAUAAACUUAUGCGAAAGCAUUUACCAAGGAUGUUUUCAUUAA
rnacentral:rRNA from 1 species